UUGGAUACUCUUAAUGAUGUGAGGCCUUUUGGAGAAAACCGUGCGAGCUUGGCCCAAAGCGGACAAUAUCACAUCAUGUUAAGAUGUGGGUGGCACACAGACAUGUUGAAUCUCUGAUCCGUGGUAUGAUAAUGAGCCACGUGGAACUUAGUUCGAGGGGGAGAUUGUUGGGUGUGCGAACAAAGUACCACAUUGGUAGCUGGAAAGAAAAAAAAAGCUACUUAUAAGGAGUUGGAUACUCUUAAUGAUGUGAGGCCUUUUGGAGAAAACCGUGCGGGCUUGGCCCAAAGCGGACAAUAUCACAUCAUGUUAAGAUGUGGGUGACACACAGACAUGUUGAAUCUCUGAUCCGUGGUAUGAUAAUAAGCCACGUGGAACUUAGUUCGAGGGGGAGAUUGUUGGGUGUGCGAACAAAGUACCACAUUGGUAGCUGGAAAGAAAAAGAAGCUACUUAUAAGGAGUUGGAUACUCUUAAUGAUGUGAGGCCUUUUGGGGAAAACCGUGCGGGCUUGGCCCAAAGCGGACAA